rnacentral:rRNA from 1 species
UACGUAGGUCCCGAGCGUUGUCCGGAUUUAUUGGGCGUAAAGCGAGCGCAGGUGGUUUAUUAAGUCUGGUGUAAAAGGCAGUGGCUCAACCAUUGUAUGCAUUGGAAACUGGUAGACUUGAGUGCAGGAGAGGAGAGUGGAAUUCCAUGUGUAGCGGUGAAAUGCAUAGAUAUCACACAGAACACCGAUUGCGAAGGCAUCUCACGAAUCCGCUAUUGACGCUGAUGCACGAAAGCGUGGGGAGCAAACAGG